ACAAUUUCACACCUGGAUGUGCUCACUCAACCAAGAGUAUGCAGAGAGCUUCUGCCCUGAGCAGAGCAAAUACUCUGCUCUGCUUCUGCUGGGGUCUGGUGGAGCUCUGCAGACCCUGAACUCUGAUUCCCACCUUAGGAACCCGAGGUCCUACAUCUCUGCAAUUUGUGUAUGAAUAACAGAAUAAUUUCCCUCUUUUGUUUCGCCUUUCCUGCUCCUGAAUCUAAAUAAAGAUGGCUUUUUAGUAUUAAAAGUGGAAGAAAAUUACAGGUAAUUAUCUUUGACGGUAAAAACGCUGUAAUCAGCGGGCUACAUGAGAAAUUACUCUAAUUAUGGCUGCAUUUAUGAGAAUGGAAAAAACCUUCUUGUGGAUAAAAACGUUAAAUUGUCCCCAAUGUCUGCUUCAAACUGGAUGGGACUGCAGCUGGAGGCUUUGUUCAGCGAUGAUCAUGGGGAGACGUGAACCCAAAGUUUCACAGUAGGAAGGGGGGAAAGAAAAGGGAGCACUUUUCUAUAAUAUAACAAUACUAGGAGUAGAAAAUGACAAGACUGAUCGGUUUUAAGCCAUUCUGAAGACUGGCUGAGAGUGGAACUUGCUCAACAACAACAAAAAAACCUGGUAUAUUGAUGACGACAUCCUCUACUGAAGCUGGAGAGCAGAUUUUUUUUCCUUGCUAGAUAUUCUACACCUACUGUGAUCAACAUUUUCAUUUAAUAGCCUGAAUUUUUGGCAUUCUUUAAAACUAGUGUUACUGUGAUCUGUAUCAGCACAUAGUGCUUAUAGCCGUUAUUUCUUUUAACAAUAACAUGCUAAUUACUCUAAAUCUUUUCUGAAAUUAAAUAUCCUUAAGAGAUUACAAGAUAAAUUUGUUUCGGAUACACAAAACUUUGCUACAUUUCCUUUGCACAUCUUAUAGUUAAUCAACUAUUUGUGUAUCUUAUACAGUGAAACUAAUUAUGUUUGGUCACGAUGUUUGUUGCACGUUCAUCAAAAGAUUAAAAUACUCAUUAGUUAAA